rnacentral:rRNA from 1 species
GAUGAACGCUGGCGGCGUGCGUAACACAUGCAAGUUGAACGACGGUGCCAUGAAGUGGUAACACGGAGUGGUAUACGGAGUAGCGGACGGGUGAGUAAAGCAUGAGAAUCUGUCCUGUCGAGGGGGAUAACGUUCGGAAACGGACCCUAAUACCCCAUAGUCCGAGAGGUUAAAGGCAGCGAUGCGCGGCAGGAGGAGCUCGUGUCCUAUCAGCUAGUUGGUGAGGUAACGGCUCACCAAGGCUUUGACGGGUAGCCGGCCUGAGGGGGUGGACCGGCCACACUGGAACUGAGAAACGGUCCAGACUCCUACGGGAGGCAGCAGUGGGGAAUAUUGGGCAAUGGGAGGAAUCCUGACCCAGGCGACGCCGCGUGA